CAGGUGCGCUGGGCAAUCGCGAGAUCCUAGAGGUUUCGAGGAAAGUCCGGGCUCCACAGCACAGGAUGGUGGAUAACGUCCACUCGGGGUAACCCGCAGGCUAGUGCCACAGAAAAGAACCGCCCGCACAAUCAGUGACGGGUAAGGGUGAAAAGGUGGGGUAAGAGCCCACCGCGCUUCUGGCGACAGGGGCGGCAUCGGUAAACCCCAUCCGGAGCAAGGUCAAAUAGAGUACGACUGAGGGCAGUGCGUCCAAUUAUUCGAAUCUGAAUAUCGUGCUCGGGUAGGCUGCUUGAGACGCGCAGCAAUGUGCGUUCUAGAUAGAUGAUUGCCUCGGGCGCUCGCUAGAGCGCCUAGACAGAACCCGGCUCAUAGGUGCACCUGAACC
rnacentral:RNase_P_RNA from 1 species